UGGGGAAUUUUGGACAAUGGGCGAAAGCCUGAUCCAGCAAUGCCGCGUGUGUGAAGAAGGCCUUCGGGUUGUAAAGCACUUUUGUCCGGAAAGAAAUCCUUGGCUCUAAUACAGUCGGGGGAUGACGGUACCGGAAGAAUAAGCACCGGCUAACUACGUGCCAGCAGCCGCGGUAAUACGUAGGGUGCAAGCGUUAAUCGGAAUUACUGGGCGUAAAGCGUGCGCAGGCGGUUUGCUAAGACCGAUGUGAAAUCCCCGGGCUCAACCUGGGAACUGCAUUGGUGACUGGCAGGCUAGAGUAUGGCAGAGGGGGGUAGAAUUCCACGUGUAGCGGUGAAAUGCGUAGAGAUGUGGAGGAAUACCGAUGGCGAAGGCAGCCCCCUGGGCCAAUACUGACGCUCAUGCACGAAAGCGUGGGGAGCAAACAGGAUUAGAUACCCUGGUAGUCCACGCCCUAAACGAUGUCAACUAGUUGUUGGGGAUUCAUUCCUUAGUAACGUAGCUAACGCGUGAAGUUGACCGCCUGGGGAGUACGGUCGCAAGAUUAAAACUCAAAGGAAUUGAC
rnacentral:rRNA from 1 species